AGCCCAUCCCUGGAUCCACCUUGAAACUAAUGUAGUCAGACCUGGAUACAAUUCUGAAGGCAAUGCUGUCCAAACAAGAAUCACUACUGAAACCAAUACAGUCAGAUUCUGGACCUCUUCUGAAAUAAAACUUUGGACCCAGUCUGAAUCUCAAGCAGUAAGUAUGUGGCCUGAAGAUAGCAGAGCCACACUUUGGUCUCUAACUCAGAAUGAUACAAUUACAUCUUGGUUCCAAUUAGAAUCUCAAAGGAUACUUUCUUGGGCCCAGUUUGAAGGUGGUAUAACCAACCCUUGGACUCAGCAGGAAACUGCUACAACUAAACUAUGGACCCAAUUUGGAACUUUAAAAAUUCUUUCCUGGACCCCACCUGAUACAAUAAUAUACUGGUUCCAUACUCAAAUAGAUUCAAUCACACCCAUGAGCCAGCCUCAAACUCAAAAAUUCCAAAGUUGGAUGCAGACUAUAACUCAAGUACGAAAAAUUUCACCUGUGACUGAAGUUGAUACAGUAAUACCUUGGUUACAGUUUCAAAGUAACACAGUUAGAUCCUGGAUUCAACUUUAUUCCCAAACAGUGAGUCUUGGGACCCAUACUGAAGUUGGUAUAAUUGGGCACUGGACUCAGAAAAGAAUUGCUACAGAUAACCUUGGGACCAACUCUGAAACUCAAGCAACCAGACCCUGGGACAAGCAGGAAGCUAACACAGUCAGAACUAGGUUCUACCUUCAAGGAAAAACUGUCAGACUGCAGACUUAUUCAGAAUUCGGUACGUUCAGUACUUUCAUCCGAUCUGAAAUUGGCACAAUUCAUCAUGAUUCUUUUAUGAUCCAGUCAAAAACCCAAGAAGUCAGACCCUGGACCCAGUCUGAAAUUGUUAUGACUAGAUACUGGGUUUUGUCUCAAGUAGUUAAACCACAGACAAUGCUAAAAGGAGGAGCAUUUACACCCUGGAUCCAGUCUGAAACUCAACCAGCCACACCAUGGACCAAGCCUCAAGUUAAUAUAACAUUCUUUUCUAUUCCUGUAUCUGAUAAAUUCAGAACCUGGAUCCAACCUAAAACAAAACUACUGCAUUACAAAGCUGACAUAAUUGUAUCACUGAUUUCUCCUGAGACUGGAACAACUGGAAAAACUCUGCUAAUUGAUCAUUUGGAUAACAAGUCUAAGCUUGUCACAUUUUUACCUGUUGAGACUAUUUCUACCGCACAUCAGUAUUUUAUAACUUUGUCAACAGAGAUAAGUACCAUAGAAAGAAAAAUUAAAAGCAGUUAUCUCCAGCCAAGCCAGCUCACAAGCAUUUUCCUUCUUACCCUGUCAAGCAAGUGGUUUCCUAGUAUAAUUGGUCACAAGAACUUUGGCAGCAUAUUAGAAAUUAUUGACACAAAAGGAAGCCUUGAUGUCCUUUCUGUCUCUCUUAGUUAUCUUUCCCCAGGCUUUUCCUUCCUUGUUUCUUGUUCUCUUACAUAUCCAUGUACAUUGUUCCCUUCCUGUUUAGUCUUUUCUUCUUGUCCUUAUCUUUCACACUGUGUUUUCCCAUCUUGCUUCAACUUUUCUUCUCUGGCCUUCUCUCCUGUGCUUUUGCCCUCAACCUCUUCUGAUAAUCAGCUCCAGGAACUGUCUUUCUCAAAGUUUAUUGAAGAUACUAUUUUUUCUCACACUUUCUCAUCCCUGCAUGCUCCUCCAGCAAUAAGUUUAACAAAAGAGUUUCCCCUGAUGCCUGGAUCUCUAUCUGGACCCAACUAUAAGCAUCAGUCUGGACAACAGCCUCUCAAUGUUUCCCUGGCUGAGUGUCGCCUAGAUAUGAUUUGGAAAGACAAUCUCCAGGCUCUCUGGCUCUUCAAGACAGCUGCUGUUUCUCACGAGACCACAGAGUGCGGAUUACGCCCUGGCCUUGUCUCCCGUUGUCCCAAUUGCUGGGAGGCAGAAACAGGUGAAUUUCCCUGGAUGGUUUCUAUGCAUCUCUCUUUCUCCCAUUUUUGUGCUGGCUCUAUUUUGAAUGAACAGUGGAUUCUUACCUCAGCAAGAUGUGCCAAUUUCAUAAAAAGCUCAGAAGCUCUGGCCUUGGUCCAAGUGGGUCUUAUUGAUCUACAGGAUCCUACCCAAGCUCAGACUGUUGGUAUUGAUCGUGCCCUGCCCUCUUAG
rnacentral:lncRNA from 1 species